GGCUUGUUGAUAAUAAUUUCAGGUYUGACCUGCCCAAUGAGAGGGAUUUAAUGGCCGCAGUAUUUUAACUGUGCAAAGGUAGCAUAAUCACUAGUUUUUUAAUUGAGAGCUUGAAUGAAUGGUUUAAUGAAAAAAUUUCUGUCUCUAGAAAAAUUUAUUAGAAUUUUAUUUUUAAGUGAAAAAGCUUAAAUAUUUAUUGAAGACGAGAAGACCCUAUAGAGUUUUAUAUUUGUAUAUAAAUUAUUGGUUUGGAAACGGAUGGCUGUAAAAUGUGUAGAAGUAUUUAAUUGGGGUGAUUGAAAAAUUUAAUAAACUUUUUUUUUGUUUAUACACUAAUUUGUGAAUUUAUGAUCCUAAGAUUUAGAUUAUAAGAAAUAAUUACCUUAGGGAUAACAGCGUAAUUUUUUCUAGAGUUCUUAUCGAAAAGAAGGAUUGCGACCUCGAUGUUGGAUUAAAAUUUAUUUUUGGUGAAGAAGCUAAAAUGUUUGGGUCUGUUCGACCUUUAAAAUUUUACAUGAUCUGAGUUUAAACCGG
rnacentral:rRNA from 1 species